UAUAUGGAGAGUUUGAUCCUGGCUCAGGACGAACGCUGGCGGCGUGCCUAAUACAUGCAAGUCGAGCGG
rnacentral:rRNA from 1 species